rnacentral:rRNA from 1 species
CAUGCAGUCGUGGGGCAGCAUGACUGUAGCAUACAGUUGAUGGCGACCGGCAAACGGGUGCGGAACACGUACGCAAUCUACCCAGAACUGGUGAAUAGCCCUCCGAAAGGAGGAUUAAUACACCGUAACAUAAUAGAGUGGCAUCACUUUGUUAUUAAAGCUCCGGCGGUUUUGGAUGAGCGUGCGCCCCAUUAGGUAGUUGGUUGAGGUAAUGGCUCACCAAGCCUGCGAUGGGUAACUGGUGUGAGAGCACGACCAGUCACACGGGCACUGAGACACGGGCCCGACUCCUACGGGAGGCAGCAGUAAGGAAUAUUGGUCAAUGGACGCAAGUCUGAACCAGCCAUGCCGCGUGGAGGAUGAAGGCCCUCUGGGUUGUAAACUUCUUUUAUGGGGGACGAAAUCACUUAUUCUUAUGUGUCUCACCCCCCCCCCAGGAAUAAGCACCGGCUAACUCCGUGCCAGCAGCCGCGGUAAUACGGAGGGUGCAAGCGUUAUCCGGAUUCACUGGGUUUAAAGGGUGCGUAGGAGGGCGGAUAAGUCAGUGGUGAAAUCUUCGAGCUUAACUCGGAACUGCCGUUGAUACUAUUUGUCUUGAAUAUCGUGGAGGUGAGCGGAAUAUGUCAUGUAGCGGUGAAAAUGCUUUAAAUAUGACA